rnacentral:rRNA from 1 species
UACAGAGGUCUCAAGCGUUGUUCGGAUUCAUUGGGCGUAAAGGGUGCGUAGGUGGCGCUGUAAGUCGGGUGUGAAAUUUCGGAGCUUAACUCCGAAACUGCAUUCGAUACUGCCGUGCUUGAGGACUGGAGAGGAGACUGGAAUUUACGGUGUAGCGGUGAAAUGCGUAGAUAUCGUAAGGAAGACCAGUGGCGAAGGCGGGUCUCUGGACAGUUCCUGACGCUGAGGUGCGAAAGCGUGGGGAGCAAACAGG